rnacentral:rRNA from 1 species
UACAGAGGGUGCGAGCGUUGUCCGGAAUCACUGGGCGUAAAGGGCGCGUAGGCGGCCUGAUAAGUAGGGGGUGAAAUCCUGCGGCUUAACCGCAGGGCUGCCUUCUAAACUGUCAGGCUCGAGCACAGUAGAGGCAGGUGGAAUUCCCGGUGUAGCGGUGGAAUGCGUAGAGAUCGGGAAGAACAUCAGUGGCGAAGGCGGCCUGCUGGGCUGUUGCUGACGCUGAGGCGCGACAGCGUGGGGAGCAAACAGG